CCUACGGGUGGCAGCAGUGAGGAAUAUUGGUCAAUGGGCGGAAGCCUGAACCAGCCAAGUAGCGUGCAGGAUGACGGCCCUACGGGUUGUAAACUGCUUUUAUACGGGAAUAACGCGCCUUACGUGUAGGGCUUUGCAUGUACCGUAUGAAUAAGGACCGGCUAAUUCCGUGCCAGCAGCCGCGGUAAUACGGAAGGUCCGGGCGUUAGCCGGAUUGAUUGGGUGUAAAGGGAGCGUAGGCAGCAUGGCAAGCGUGCUGGGAAAUGUCAGGGCUCAACCCGGGCCUUGCAGCGCGAACUGGCUUGCUUGAGUCCGCGGAAAGCAGGCGGAAUGCGUCGUGUAGCGGUGAAAUGCUUAGAUAUGACGAAGAACCCCGAUUGCGAAGGCAGCUUGCUGCAGCGGAACUGACGCUGAUGCUCGAAAGCGCGGGUAUCGAACAGGAUUAGAUACCCUGGUAGUC
rnacentral:rRNA from 1 species